rnacentral:rRNA from 1 species
AAUCAGGAUUCAUCUACCGAGACCCUGUGGAGCUGGCAACAGCGUCGCCGCGACUCUAAACACUGGCGUUUGCCGCAAGUCCUACGGGGCAACACUGCACGAUUGACGGGAAUGCCUGGCGACAGGCAACCCGCAGCUCCUACCCGGGAGUCCACAGACUAAGUGGCAGUGGGCGUUCGCGCUUAAGAUAUAGUCGGCCUUGGGGCGCGAGCCCGGAGAUCUCAGCGUCCGUAGGUGAACCUGCGGAAGGAUCAUUAAAGAAUGCGUGGCCUUCGGGCCCCCUUCUCACCCUUUGUAUAUCAACUCUGUUGCUUUGGCAGGCCUCCGGCUUUCGGGCUGGGUCGCGUCUGUCAGAGGACCUAACCCUUGAAUCUCUGAUGUCUGAGUACUAUCUAAUAGUUAAAACUUUCAACAACGGAUCUCUUGGUUCUGGCAUCGAUGAAGAACGCAGCGAAAUGCGAUAAGUAAUGUGAAUUGCAGAAUUCAGUGAAUCAUCGAAUCUUUGAACGCACAUUGCGCCCUCUGGCAUUCCGGAGGGCAUGCCUGUUCGAGCGUCAUUACAACCCUCAAGCGCAAGCUUGGUGUUGGGCUCGCCCUGUAGGGCUUGCCUCAAAGUCAGUGGCGGCACUAGCGGUCCCUAAGCGCAGUAAUACUCAACGCUUCUGGACGCCGCGAAGCGCCUGCCAGCAACCCCCACCAUCAAAGGUUGACCUCGGAUCAGGUAGGGAUACCCGCUGAACUUAAGCAUAUCAAUAAGGCGGGAGGAA